GGCGGCAUAGCUCAGGUGGUUAGAGCGGGGGAAUCAUAAUCCCUGUGUCGUGGGUUCGAAUCCUACUGCCGCUA
rnacentral:tRNA from 1 species